rnacentral:rRNA from 1 species
UACGUAGGGUGCGAGCGUUGUCCGGAAUUAUUGGGCGUAAAGGGCUCGUAGGCGGUCUGUCGCGUCGGGAGUGAAAACCAGGUGCUUAACACCUGGCUUGCUUUCGAUACGGGCAGACUAGAGGUAUUCAGGGGAGAACGGAAUUCUUGGUGUAGCGGUGAAAUGCGUAGAUAUCAAGAGGAACACCUGAGGCGAAGGCGGGUUGCUAGGCUGACACUGACGCUGAGACGCGAAAGCGUGGGGAGCAAACAGG